rnacentral:lncRNA from 1 species
GAAGGGAUCUCAGAGCAAAUCUCAACAACGUGCGGCUCGAUCUACUCUUCACAGAACUGAAGAGAACUGAUCAGCCUCCUCAGCAUGGGAAUCUAGUCUCUAUGACUUAGGCCAUGUCCAACAAAUAAUACAGCAGAACACGACAUCAGAAAACACCAUGAAGAAGAAAAAAUAAGGGGAAGAGAACUUUUAUUAAACAAUCUCUCACC